rnacentral:rRNA from 1 species
GAUUAGAUACCCUGGUAGUCCACGCCGUAAACGAUGUCGACUUGGAGGUUGUUCCCUUGAGGAGUGGCUUCCGGAGCUAACGCGUUAAGUCGACCGCCUGGGGAGUACGGCCGCAAGGUUAAAACUCAAAUGAAUUGACGGGGGCCCGCACAAGCGGUGGAGCAUGUGGUUUAAUUCGAUGCAACGCGAAGAACCUUACCUACUCUUGACAUCCACGGAAUUCGGCAGAGAUGCCUUAGUGCCUUCGGGAACCGUGAGACAGGUGCUGCAUGGCUGUCGUCAGCUCGUGUUGUGAAAUGUUGGGUUAAGUCCCGCAACGAGCGCAACCCUUAUCCUUUGUUGCCAGCGAUUCGGUCGGGAACUCAAAGGAGACUGCCGGUGAUAAACCGGAGGAAGGUGGGGAUGACGUCAAGUCAUCAUGGCCCUUACGAGUAGGGCUACACACGUGCUACAAUGGCGCAUACAAAGAGAAGCGACCUCGCGAGAGCAAGCGGACCUCAUAAAGUGCGUCGUAGUCCGGAUCGGAGUCUGCAACUCGACUCCGUGAAGUCGGAAUCGCUAGUAAUCGUGGAUCAGAAUGCCACGGUGAAUACGUUCCCGGGCCUUGUACACACCGCCCGUCACACCAUGGGAGUGGGUUGCAAAAGAAGUAGGUAGCUUAACCUUCGGGAGGGCGCUUACCACUUUGUGAUUCAUGACUGGGGUGAAGUCGUAACAAGG